AUUAAACGCUGGCGGCAUGCCUUACACAUGCAAGUCGAACGGCAGCACGGGGGCAACCCUGGUGGCGAGUGGCGGACGGGUGAGUAAUACAUCGGAACGUGCCCUGGAGUGGGGGAUAACGCAGCGAAAGCUACGCUAAUACCGCAUAUUCUGUGAGCAGGAAAGCAGGGGAUCGCAAGACCUUGCGCUUUGGGAGCGGCCGAUGUCGGAUUAGCUAGUUGGUGGGGUAAAGGCCUACCAAGGCGACGAUCCGUAGCGGGUCUGAGAGGAUGAUCCGCCACACUGGGACUGAGACACGGCCCAGACUCCUACGGGAGGCAGCAGUGGGGAAUUUUGGACAAUGGGCGGAAGCCUGAUCCAGCCAUGCCGCGUGAGUGAAGAAGGCCUCGGUGUAAG
rnacentral:rRNA from 1 species